rnacentral:rRNA from 1 species
UAAUACCGCAUACGUUCACCGAGGGACACCCCUUGGUGAGGAAACCUCCGGGGCAGAUAGAGGGGCUCGCGGCCUAUCAGCUAGUUGGUGAGGUAACGGCUCACCAAGGCGACGACGGGUAGCUGGUCUGAGAGGAUGGCCAGCCACAUUGGGACUGCGACACGGCCCAGACUCCUACGGGAGGCAGCAGUGGGGAAUAUUGCGCAAUGGACGAAAGUCUGACGCAGCGACGCCGCGUGUGGGAUGAAGCUCUUCGGGGUGUAAACCACUGUUGCCCGGGAAGAAUCUCCUGAUUCAUCAGGAUUGACGGUACCGGGUGAGGAAGCACCGGCUAACUCUGUGCCAGCAGCCGCGGUAAUACAGAGGGUGCGAGCGUUGUCCGGAAUCACUGGGCGUAAAGGGCGCGUAGGUGGCGGGAUAAGCGUGUGGUGAAAGCCCGGGGCUCAACCCCGGGUCUGCCAUGCGGACUGUCUUGCUCGAGCGUAGUAGAGGCAGGUGGAAUUCCGGGUGUAGCGGUGGAAUGCGUAGAGAUCCGGAAGAACACCGGUGGCGAAGGCGGCCUGCUGGGCUACUGCUGACACUGAGGCGCGACAGCGUGGGGAGCAAACAGGAUUAGAUACCCUGGUAG